ACAGAACCUUACAGCUCAUCCUGGAGACAAUGUUGUUCUGAAAUGUGAGGCUCCCAGAAACACAACAAUCAAUGUUGCAAAGUGGAAGAAAGAUGGUCUCAGUAAACAUGUGUACUUCAACCGAGACGGGCACUCCAUCCGACCACGUGACCAGGACCCAUCUUAUAUAGGGCGGGUGGAUCUGGUGGACCGUGAGAUGAAAGACGGUAACCUGUCUUUAAAUCUGAAGAAUGUGAGCCACAACGACACUGGAACAUAUGAGUGCAGCGCUGAUAAAGUCACACUGGCUAGGGUUGUCCUUAACGUUACAGAAGCAGAUCAUACGGCAGUGGCAGUGGCAGUGACAAUUGUUUUUUUGGUUGCAUUAAUCGGGUUUGUGAUAUAUCAACAAUCUCAGAACCUCAAGUGUGGCCAGAAUGAUGUUGCUGUUCUGUUACCAGAUGGUAUGAAGGCUUUAAGCAGGUCGUAG